rnacentral:hammerhead_ribozyme from 1 species
AUCCAACCGACGAGUCUCACAUAGGACGAAACGUGCAUCCUUGAU